rnacentral:rRNA from 1 species
AGGCAACCUGCCCUUAAGUUUGGGACAACUACCGGAAACGGUAGCUAAUACCGAAUAAUUGUCUUCUUCGCCUGAAGGAAACUGGAAAGACGGAGCAAUCUGUCACUUGGGGAUGGGCCUGCGGCGCAUUAGCUAGUUGGUGGGGUAACGGCUCACCAAGGCGACGAUGCGUAGCCGACCUGAGAGGGUGAUCGGCCACACUGGGACUGAGACACGGCCCAGACUCCUACGGGAGGCAGCAGUAGGGAAUCUUCCGCAAUGGGCGAAAGCCUGACGGAGCAAUGCCGCGUGAGUGAUGAAGGUUUUCGGAUCGUAAAGCUCUGUUGCCAGGGAAGAACGCUUGGGAGAGUAACUGCUCUCAAGGUGACGGUACCUGAGAAGAAAGCCCCGGCUAACUACGUGCCAGCAGCCGCGGUAAUACGUAGGGGGCAAGCGUUGUCCGGAAUUAUUGGGCGUAAAGCGCGCGCAGGCGGUCAUUUAAGUCUGGUGUUUAAUCCCGGGGCUCAACCCCGGAUCGCACUGGAAACUGGGUGACUUGAGUGCAGAAGAGGAGAGUGGAAUUCCACGU